UGCCCUGGGAUCUCUGUAGUGGUCGGUACUGUAUUGAUUAUAAAUGGUGAAGUCCUAGUAUCUUGCUAGAGUGAGCUGGCCAGGAUGGUGGAGCUCUACCACCAUUUCACAGGUUAUAGACAGGGGCCACCAGGUUUCAGGAAAGCAGCAAUGACCCCUCAGUAAUAGUUGGAAAGUGUGAUAUGACACUGAGCUUCACUGUGUUGGUGAAGAAGAGGUGAGGAAAAUAAAAGCUGCAGUUUGCCUCCACCUCUGAAGAAGCACAAUACACCUUUCUGGGUUACCAAUGGGAUACUUCCCAACAGCUUUGUCAUCACAUACAAUAUUCUCAAACAAGAUCUUAAUGGCAUCUACUUUCUCCAGGAACACAGCCCCUGACCUGUGUGUGUUUGCGUAGAGAAGGCAUGCUAUGUACCCCCUAGGAUAUCAAGAUUCCUGUAGCAGAUUGAGCUCUGGCAGUUGAUCUCAGUGGCUUGAUAGAGUGUCAUUAUAAAAACGCACCUGGAAGAUUCUGUGGAAAAGACAACCUCAGAAGACCAAGGCUGACUUUGCAAGAGAGAGUCCGUUUACCACUUAGAACCGUGAACACCACCCCCGCCCUCAUUUAUCUCCAGACUUGAACUAGUGGUUAAAUCCCAACAUGUCCCAGAGAAGUCAAAAGCAUUGUAAAAUCUGGGAAUCUGCCCACCACUCAAGCCUGGGAAAGCUGGCAGAGGAUGCACGUGUUUUACUCACCUGAGUGUUUACAAUGCUCGUGAGGUGCCUCCCUGAUAUUUUUAUAGCAGAAUGGAGAAACACAACCAAGGAGAUACACCUAAGUAACAACAGCAAUGAUGUCAAAAAGAGUGCCUGAAUACUUAGGGUGGAGGUCCUGGACAUGCAAACCCAAGCUUCCUCUUUGCUGUGGCCAGGAAUCUGCAGUGAUUGAGAGCACAGACUGUAUCUAAAAUUCCACCUUUCAAAGUUCAGCAUAUUACUUUUUUUUUUCUUACACCUAUAAGUACAGAGGAAUGAAGAAGGAAUAAACAGACCUUCUGGAUAAUUGCAUCAGCCUUCCCCACUAUUCCAAUGCCAUGCUAACAUUUCAAGUAAUGUCCCUUUUGUCUUGCUGAGAAAAAAUCAUUUCAUGAUUUAUUACACUGGAUUAAAGGCUAUGCACACUCUGGAGUUGGAACAUGACUGAAGGGCAAGCAAGCAUAAAGGAUAUCAGAAAC
rnacentral:lncRNA from 1 species